CUUUGGCAACCAGAUGCAGAGAACAAGCACUCUUGGAAGGUGUUAAGCAAGGAUGCAGAAAUUGAAAAGCACCCAGUGUUUUCAUAUAGGAAUUAAGAAAUACUUUUUGGAAUGAUAAUUAACUACAGUCUGUGGUGGAUAGAAGGUAAUGGCUGGGUUUCUUUCAGCCAGGAAAAUGGAGGACUGAGGGCUUUAGCAAAAAAGCUGGGACCGUUCUUUCAUGGGGCAUUUGAAGCUGGUUUCGGCACACAUGUCAGCGAGCCACUCUGCAGAUGAGGCCCUGCAGCACAGCGACUUGUUCUCAUCAGAAGACCCUGGGGACUGCAGGCGGAUUAUUAUGCGGUGUCCUGACUCGGUGGCCUGCACCUCUCCCUGGAGCCUGCAGUGGAUCCCAGAUCGCCGGCAGCCUUUCUCUGCUGCUUCUCCACCGCUGGCCCUCGAAUGAUGUGAGUACCCUGGAUAAAUGUCCUGCUGAGCCAGUUUACUAUCUGCUACGUUUUAAUGUAUCUUUUACCAAAAAAAAAAAAGCCAUAUUUAUAAUA